UAUGAUGAGAAUCUUUUGAUUAGCUCUAGAUCAAGAGCUGCUUCGGCAGCGAUGAGCGAUAUUUGCAUGUAUUACCUGAAUU
rnacentral:snoRNA from 1 species